rnacentral:rRNA from 1 species
GACGAACGCUGGCGGCGUGCCUAAUACAUGCAAGUAGAACGCUGAAGGAGGAGCUUGCUUCUCUGGAUGAGUUGCGAACGGGUGAGUAACGCGUAGGUAACCUGCCUGGUAGCGGGGGAUAACUAUUGGAAACGAUAGCUAAUACCGCAUAAUAGUAGAUGUUGCAUGACAUUUGCUUAAAAGGUGCAAUUGCAUCACUACCAGAUGGACCUGCGUUGUAUUAGCUAGUUGGUGGGGUAACGGCUCACCAAGGCGGCGAUACAUAGCCGACCUGAGAGGGGGAGCGGCCACACUGGGACUGAGACACGGCCCAGCCUCCUACGGGAGGCAGCAGUAGGGAAUCUUCGGCAAUGGACGGAAGUCUGACCGAGCAACGCCGCGUGAGUGAAGAAGGUUGUCGGAUCGUAAAGCUCUGUUGUAAGAGAAGAACGAGUGUGAGAGUGGAAAGUUCACACUGUGACGGUAUCUUACCAGAAAGGGACGGCUAACUACGUG